AAGCGGAGGAAAAGAAACCAACAGGGAUUCCCCUAGUAACGGCGAGUGAAGCGGGAACAGCUCAAAUUUGAAAUCUGGCCCUUGGGUCCGAGUUGUAAUUUGCAGAGGAUGCUUUUGGUGCGGUGCCUUCCGAGUUCCCUGGAACGGGACGCCUUAGAGGGUGAGAGCCCCGUACGGUUGGCCACCAAGCCUGUGUAAAGCUCCUUCGACGAGUCGAGUAGUUUGGGAAUGCUGCUCAAAAUGGGAGGUAUAUUUCUUCUAAAGCUAAAUACUGGCCAGAGACCGAUAGCGCACAAGUAGAGUGAUCGAAAGAUGAAAAGCACUUUGAAAAGAGGGUUAAAUAGCACGUGAAAUUGUUGAAAGGGAAGGAUUUAUGACCAGACUUUUUCUGGGGGGAUCAUCCGGUGUUCUCACCGGUGCACUUCCCCCAGUUGAGGCCAGCAUCGGUUUCUGCCGGGGGAUAAAAGCUUUGGGAAUGUGGCUCCUUCGGGAGUGUUAUAGCCCGUUGCAUAAUACCCUGGCGGGGACCGAGGUUCGCGCAUUGCAAGGAUGCUGGCGUAAUGGUUAUUAAUCACCCGUCUUGAAACACGGACCAAGGAGUCGAACAUUUGUGCGAGUGUUUGGGUGUUAAACCCUCACGCGUAAUGAAAGUGAACGGAGGUGAGAGCCUUUAGGGGUGCAUCAUCGACCGAUCCUGAUGUCUUCGGAUGGAUUUGAGUAAGAGCAUAACUGUUCGGACCCGAAAGAUGGUGAACUAUGCGUGGAUAGGGUGAAGCCAGAGGAAACUCUGGUGGAGGCUCGCAGCGGUUCUGACGUGCAAAUCGAUCGUCAAAUCUGCGCAUGGGGGCGAAAGACUAAUCGAACCAUCUAGUAGCUGGUUA
rnacentral:rRNA from 1 species